CCGUCAAGCACUUCCGCCUCCAGGAAGGCUGCGGCCCCGCCCCAGGGUCUGGCCAGAGGCCAGAGAGCAGAGUCUGUGUGGAAAGCUGCUGAUGGACUCUGGGUUCGAUGGCCUAACACGAGCUGGUGCCACACUCCGGGAGGUGACAAGGAGCUAAUUACAUGGAGGAAAGAGAGCCAGCAGAAGAGGUCAUUGCAAAGGGUGGAUUUCUUCCUGAUUAACUGCGCGGGGAGACACAACCGGAAGGAACAGUACGGGGCAGUGUUUGUGCCAUCGGAGAUAAGCACCACGUAUCUGGCGAGGCGGACAGUGACUAAACUCCUGGGAGCCUUGAACUUGGAAACUCAGCUGCCCUUUGUGGAGGAAACGAGGGUGAAUCACCAUGUGCUCAAGAGUACCUCCCCCAAGACUCUAGCAAGUCUCCCCCACGUUCAAGUGAGGUGACCAGGGGUCAAGAUGCAGGCAUCAGGAG
rnacentral:lncRNA from 9 species